rnacentral:rRNA from 1 species
AUUGAACGCUGGCGGAAUGCUUUACACAUGCAAGUCGAACGGUAGAGGGGGCAACCCCUCGAGAGUGGCGAACGGGUGAGUAAUAUAUCGGAACGUGCCCAGUCGUGGGGGAUAACGUAGCGAAAGUUACGCUAAUACCGCAUACGAUCUAAGGAUGAAAGCGGGGGAUCGCAAGACCUCGCGCGAUUGGAGCGGCCGAUAUCAGAUUAGGUAGUUGGUGGGGUAAAGGCUCACCAAGCCAACGAUCUGUAGCUGGUCUGAGAGGACGACCAGCCACACUGGAACUGAGACACGGUCCAGACUCCUACGGGAGGCAGCAGUGGGGAAUUUUGGACAAUGGACGCAAGUCUGAUCCAGCCAUUCCGCGUGCAGGAUGAAGGCCCUCGGGUUGUAAACUGCUUUUGUACGGAACGAAAAGGUCUCUCUUAAUACGGGGAGGUCAUGACGGUACCGUAAGAAUAAGCACCGGCUAACUACGUGCCAGCCGCCGCAGUAA